UACGUAGGGUGCGAGCGUUGUCCGGAAUUACUGGGCGUAAAGAGCUCGUAGGUGGUUUGUCGCGUUGUCCGUGAAAACUCACAGCUCAACUGUGGGCGUGCGGGCGAUACGGGGCAGACUGGAGUACUGCAGGGGAGACUGGAAGUUCCUGGUGUAGCGGUGGAAUGCGCAGAUAUCAGGAGGAACACCGGUGGCGAAGGCGGGUCUCUGGGCAGUAACUGACGCUGGAGGAGCGAAAGCGUGGGGAGCGAACAGG
rnacentral:rRNA from 1 species